ACGAACGCUGGCGGCGUGCUUAACACCUGCAAGUCGAACGGAAAGGCCCUGCUUUUGUGGGGUGCUCGAGUGGCGAACGGGUGAGUAACACGUGAGUAACCUGCCCUUGACUCUGGGAUAACUUCAGGAAACUGGGGCUAAUACCGGAUAGGAGCUCCUGCUGCAUGGUGGGGGUUGGAAAGUUUCGGCGGUUGGGGAUGGACUCGCGGCUUAUCAGCUUGUUGGUGGGGUAGUGGCUUACCAAGGCUUUGACGGGUAGCCGGCCUGAGAGGGUGACCGGCCACAUUGGGACUGAGAUACGGCCCAGACUCCUACGGGAGGCAGCAGUGGGGAAUAUUGCACAAUGGGCGGAAGCCUGAUGCAGCAACGCCGCGUGCGGGAUGACGGCCUUCGGGUUGUAAACCGCUUUCGCCUGUGACGAAGCGUGAGUGACGGUAAUGGGUAAAGAAGCACCGGCUAACUACGUG
rnacentral:rRNA from 1 species